CACACCGCCCGUCACACCAUGGGAGUUAAUUGCUCUAGAAGUCGGUGCGCUAACCUUGUGAAGCAGCCGCCUAAAGAGUGAUUGGUAACUGGGGUG
rnacentral:rRNA from 1 species